AUGAACGCUGGCGGCGUGCCUAAUACAUGCAAGUCGAACGCCGGAAAUCUAGCUUGCUAGAUUGAAGGAGUGGCGAACGGGUGAGUAAUACAUAAGCAACCUACCCACGAAGACUGGGAUAAUCUCUGGAAACGGGGACUAAUACCGGAUAGGUAAUCGGAAGGCAUCUUCUGAUUAUUAAAGGUUAAAAACACUGGUGGAUGGGCUUAUGGCGCAUUAGUUAGUUGGUGAGGUAACGGCCCACCAAGACGAUGAUGCGUAGCCGGCCUGAGAGGGUGAACGGCCACAUUGGGACUGAGACACGGCCCAGACUCCUACGGGAGGCAGCAGUAGGGAAUUUUCGGCAAUGGGGGAAACCCUGACCGAGCAACGCCGCGUGAGUGAGGACGGCCUUCGGGUUGUAAAGCUCUGUUGUAAGGGAAGAACGGUAGAUAGAGAAUAUCUAAAUGACGGUACCUUACCAGAAAGCCACGGCUAACUACGUG
rnacentral:rRNA from 1 species